UGUUCUGUGGCUUAGUUGGUUAAAGCGCCUGUUUAGCGAAUACGGAGUCGUAGGUUCGAAUCCCACCAGAACGC
rfam:Aedes albopictus isolate Foshan contig96423, whole genome shotgun sequence.